rnacentral:rRNA from 1 species
GGGUUGUGAGGUUAAGCGACUAAGCGUACACGGUGGAUGCCCUGGCAGUCAGAGGCGAUGAAGGACGUGCUAAUCUGCGAUAAGCGUCGGUAAGGUGAUAUGAACCGUUAUAACCGGCGAUUUCCGAAUGGGGAAACCCAGUGUGAUUCGUCACACUAUCAUUAACUGAAUCCAUAGGUUAAUGAGGCGAACCGGGGGAACUGAAACAUCUAAGUACCCCGAGGAAAAGAAAUCAACCGAGAUUCCCCCAGUAGCGGCGAGCGAACGGGGAGCAGCCCAGAGCCUGAAUCAGUGUGUGUGUUAGUGGAAGCGUCUGGAAAGGCGCGCGAUACAGGGUGACAGCCCCGUACACAAAAAUGCACAUGCUGUGAGCUCGAUGAGUAGGGCGGGACACGUGGUAUCCUGUCUGAAUAUGGGGGGACCAUCCUCCAAGGCUAAAUACUCCUGACUGACCGAUAGUGAACCAGUACCGUGAGGGAAAGGCGAAAAGAACCCCGGCGAGGGGAGUGAAAAAGAACCUGAAACCGUGUACGUACAAGCAGUGGGAGCACGCUUAGGCGUGUGACUGCGUACCUUUUGUAUAAUGGGUCAGCGACUUAUAUUCUGUAGCAAGGUUAACCGAAUAGGGGAGCCGAAGGGAAACCGAGUCUUAACUGGGCGUUAAGUUGCAGGGUAUAGACCCGAAACCCGGUGAUCUAGCCAUGGGCAGGUUGAAGGUUGGGUAACACUAACUGGAGGACCGAACCGACUAAUGUUGAAAAAUUAGCGGAUGACUUGUGGCUGGGGGUGAAAGGCCAAUCAAACCGGGAGAUAGCUGGUUCUCCCCGAAAGCUAUUUAGGUAGCGCCUCGUGAAUUCAUCUCCGGGGGUAGAGCACUGUUUCGGCAAGGGGGUCAUCCCGACUUACCAACCCGAUGCAAACUGCGAAUACCGGAGAAUGUUAUCACGGGAGACACACGGCGGGUGCUAACGUCCGUCGUGAAGAGGGAAACAACCCAGACCGCCAGCUAAGGUCCCAAAGUCAUGGUUAAGUGGGAAACGAUGUGGGAAGGCCCAGACAGCCAGGAUGUUGGCUUAGAAGCAGCCAUCAUUUAAAGAAAGCGUAAUAGCUCACUGGUCGAGUCGGCCUGCGCGGAAGAUGUAACGGGGCUAAACCAUGCACCGAAGCUGCGGCAGCGACGCUGAUGCGUUGUUGGGUAGGGGAGCGUUCUGUAAGCCUGCGAAGGUGUGCUGUGAGGCAUGCUGGAGGUAUCAGAAGUGCGAAUGCUGACAUAAGUAACGAUAAAGCGGGUGAAAAGCCCGCUCGCCGGAAGACCAAGGGUUCCUGUCCAACGUUAAUCGGGGCAGGGUGAGUCGACCCCUAAGGCGAGGCCGAAAGGCGUAGUCGAUGGGAAACAGGUUAAUAUUCCUGUACUUGGUGUUACUGCGAAGGGGGGACGGAGAAGGCUAUGUUGGCCGGGCGACGGUUGUCCCGGUUUAAGCGUGUAGGCUGGUUUUCCAGGCAAAUCCGGAAAACUAAGGCUGAGGCGUGAUGACGAGGCACUACGGUGCUGAAGCAACAAAUGCCCUGCUUCCAGGAAAAGCCUCUAAGCAUCAGGUAACAUCAAAUCGUACCCCAAACCGACACAGGUGGUCAGGUAGAGAAUACCAAGGCGCUUGAGAGAACUCGGGUGAAGGAACUAGGCAAAAUGGUGCCGUAACUUCGGGAGAAGGCACGCUGAUAUGUAGGUGAAGCGACUUGCUCGUGGAGCUGAAAUCAGUCGAAGAUACCAGCUGGCUGCAACUGUUUAUUAAAAACACAGCACUGUGCAAACACGAAAGUGGACGUAUACGGUGUGACGCCUGCCCGGUGCCGGAAGGUUAAUUGAUGGGGUCAGCGCAAGCGAAGCUCUUGAUCGAAGCCCCGGUAAACGGCGGCCGUAACUAUAACGGUCCUAAGGUAGCGAAAUUCCUUGUCGGGUAAGUUCCGACCUGCACGAAUGGCGUAAUGAUGGCCAGGCUGUCUCCACCCGAGACUCAGUGAAAUUGAACUCGCUGUGAAGAUGCAGUGUACCCGCGGCAAGACGGAAAGACCCCGUGAACCUUUACUAUAGCUUGACACUGAACAUUGAGCCUUGAUGUGUAGGAUAGGUGGGAGGCUUUGAAGUGUGGACGCCAGUCUGCAUGGAGCCGACCUUGAAAUACCACCCUUUAAUGUUUGAUGUUCUAACGUGGACCCGUGAUCCGGGUUGCGGACAGUGUCUGGUGGGUAGUUUGACUGGGGCGGUCUCCUCCUAAAGAGUAACGGAGGAGCACGAAGGUUGGCUAAUCCUGGUCGGACAUCAGGAGGUUAGUGCAAUGGCAUAAGCCAGCUUGACUGCGAGCGUGACGGCGCGAGCAGGUGCGAAAGCAGGUCAUAGUGAUCCGGUGGUUCUGAAUGGAAGGGCCAUCGCUCAACGGAUAAAAGGUACUCCGGGGAUAACAGGCUGAUACCGCCCAAGAGUUCAUAUCGACGGCGGUGUUUGGCACCUCGAUGUCGGCUCAUCACAUCCUGGGGCUGAAGUAGGUCCCAAGGGUAUGGCUGUUCGCCAUUUAAAGUGGUACGCGAGCUGGGUUUAGAACGUCGUGAGACAGUUCGGUCCCUAUCUGCCGUGGGCGCUGGAGAACUGAGGGGGGCUGCUCCUAGUACGAGAGGACCGGAGUGGACGCAUCACUGGUGUUCGGGUUGUCAUGCCAAUGGCACUGCCCGGUAGCUAAAUGCGGAAGAGAUAAGUGCUGAAAGCAUCUAAGCACGAAACUUGCCCCGAGAUGAGUUCUCCCUGACUCCUUGAGAGUCCUGAAGGAACGUUGAAGACGAUGACGUUGAUAGGCCGGGUGUGUAAGCGCAGCGAUGCGUUGAGCUAACCGGUACUAAUGAACCGUGAGGCUUAACCUUACAACGCCGAAGGUGUUU